UCUCCUAUGUCAAAUGAUUUAGAUAUGAAAGCAAACACAAACAAAUACACAAAAAAGAAUGUCUUUUCAUUAUCUGCAUGGUUCCAAUUCUAAAAGCAUCUUCAUUUUAUCAAUCAUAUGAUAAAUUUAUCACAAAAGCAGCUGCCAAUUUCUAAAAUGAACCAUUUAAUAUGAGAAAUCAGCAAAUGCAGUCUCCCAAAGCAAGCAAGACUUAGCACACAUCUUCAAUGGAUAAAACAGGUUCGAAGAAGAAUAGAACCAUAACUUCAGCACAUUCCUUGUUUCCUUUGACCAAGUUCAUCAAAAACCAACAAAAUGCAAAGUGUCUACUAGAAAAGCCUUGUAUCAACUUAAAAAUAUUUUCAGCUGACUUAUUUUGAUUCAUCUUUGUCUAAUUCCUUUGGACAAACAAACAUCUAAGAUGUGAUAGACUCAACAUCUGCUUUGAAACUACAUUGGAAAAACAACUGGAGAAGGAAUAGAUGAGAAUUAUCUAACAAUUUAAGUGAGAGAGAGAGAAAGAGAGUGAGAGAGAG
rnacentral:misc_RNA from 1 species